rnacentral:tRNA from 1 species
UGCCAUGUAGCUCAGUUGGUAGAGUGUUGUGCUUGUAACGCAAGGGUUGUGGAUUCGAUUCCCACUGGGCAC